AAAGAAGUGACGGUACCUGAGGAGGAAGCCCCGGCUAACUACGUGCCAGCAGCCGCGGUAAAACGUAGGGGGCGAGCGUUGUCCGGAAUUACUGGGCGUAAAGGGCGCGUAGGCGGUUUUUCAAGUCAGGGGUGAAAGCUCUGGGCUCAACCCAGGGACUGCCUCUGAAACUGAGAGACUUGAGGGCAGGAGAGGGGAGUGGAAUUCCCAGUGUAGCGGUGAAAUGCGUAGAUAUUGGGAGGAACACCAGUGGCGAAGGCGGCUCUCUGGCCUAACCCUGACGCUGAGGCGCGAAAGCGUGGGGAGCAAACGGGAUUAGAUACCCCGGUAGUCCACGCCGUAAACGAUGGGUGCUAGGUGUAGGAGGUAUCGACCCCUUCUGUGCCGUAGUUAACACAAUAAGCACCCCGCCUGGGGAGUACGGCCGCAAGGUUGAAACUCAAAGGAAUUGACGGGGGCCCGCACAAGCGGUGGAGCAUGUGGUUUAAUUCGACGCAACGCGAAGAACCUUACCAGGGUUUGACAUCCCCUGACAGCGUAUGAAAGUACGUUUUCUGCCUUCGGGCAGACAGGGAGACAGGUGGUGCAUGGUUGUCGUCAGCUCGUGUCGUGAGAUGUUGGGUUAAGUCCCGCAACGAGCGCAACCCUUACGUUUAGUUGCUAACGUGUGGAGGCGAGCACUCUAGACGAACUGCCGUUGACAAAACGGAGGAAGGUGGGGAUGACGUCAAAUCAUCAUGCCCCUUAUAUCCUGGGCCACACACGUGCUACAAUGGCCGGUACAGAGGGCAGCGAAGCCGUGAGGCGGAGCAAAUCCCAAAAAGCCGGUCUCAGGUUCGGAUUGCAGGCUGCAACCCGCCUGCAUGAAGUCGGAAUCGCUAGUAAUCGCAGGUCAGCAUACUGCGGUGAAUACGUUCCCGGGCCUUGUACACACCGCCCGUCACACCACGAAAGCUGACAACACCCGAAGCCGGUGAAGAUCGCCAGCACUCAACCUAGCAUUUGAUAGG
rnacentral:rRNA from 1 species